rnacentral:lncRNA from 1 species
AACCAAAGCGGUAUAAACUCUCUUUUACAGGAACAAUAAAGACUAUACACAGGAAAAGCUCUAUAUACCUUUCUUCUGUAGAACCAAACAUACUCCAUUGUAAACAACCAUCGACCUUUAAAAGUUACAUGAGAAGAGAUGGGAGAAACUACAACAAAGUGAAUUUGAAGAAAGAAAAAAUAGGAUAGAGAAGGAAAGUUCAAAAAAGGCAGGCGAGAGACGAGAGAGGAAAUAAUAAGCAGAAGAUGUCGACACCUUAAGUUGGUAGAUAUGAA